AGCGAACGCUGGCGGCAGGCCUAACACAUGCAAGUCGAACGAACCUUUCGGGGUUAGUGGCGGACGGGUGAGUAACACGUGGGAACGUGCCUUUAGGUUCGGAAUAACUCAGGGAAACUUGUGCUAAUACCGAAUGUGCCCUUCGGGGGAAAGAUUAAUCGCCUUUAGAGCGGCCCGCGUCUGCUUAGCUAGUUGGUUGAGGUAAUGGCUCACCAAGGCGACGAUCAGUAGCUGGUCUGAGAGGAUGAUCAGCCACAUUGGGACUGAGACACGGCCCAAACUCCUACGGGAGGCAGCAGUGGGGAAUCUUGCGCAAUGGGCGAAAGCCUGACGCAGCCAUGCCGCGUGAAUGAUGAAGGUCUUAGGAUUGUAAAAUUCUUUAACCGGGGACGAUAAUGACGGUACCCGGAGAAGAAGCCCCGGCUAACUUCGUG
rnacentral:rRNA from 1 species